UGCUGAGCCAGUUGGAGCUGGUACAUUUUAAUUACUUGCUGUCUUCACUGGAGUGCUGCAAGCUCGAAGUGUGAUCCUUAGUAGCUGUUAUUCAAUACCAUAUGCUCUUAAGGACAACGCCCUGAUGUCCAAGGUCAAUCAGCAAGAAGCUGAGAAGGCACUGUCAAAAUGGUUCACUGGGGCAAGGGACAGAGGAGGACAGAGAGCAUCAAGAAUGCAGAAAAGGAUGUCUGUUUGAGAAAGUCGCAGCACGAGCUUUUGAAGGAGCGCUGAGGGCGGAAAAGCGCCCGACAUCAUUCCCAUCUUUCCAUUGUCCAAUCGAAUGAGGGGAGAGGCAGGCCUUACGUUGUGGUGAGGGAAGUUUACAGUUGCUUUGAAGAACCGGACUCCACUCUCUCACUCUCUCCUGCGUCUUUGUGCACCUUUCACCCUCAAACAAGGUCGGAGUAAACGCUCUCUUUUUAAAGUUUCUGCUAAUAUGACAGUUAACAGCAAAAGAGCGCUCACGCUUCAAUAUUUGGACUUAUCAUGUGUAUGGCCUUCUUCAAGUUAAUCCAUAAAAUCUCUAUUGGGUUGAGGUCUGGGCUUUGACUUGGCCACUCCAAAGGCGGAUUUUGUUUUUCUGAAGCCAUUCUCUUGUGGACUUGCUCUGGUGUUUUGGAUCUUUGUCCUGUUGCAUCACCCAGACAAUCCUCCUACAGAAUUAUCCUGAAGAAUUGUCUGAUAAACUUGGGAAUUUAUCUUCCCCUCAAUGAUUGCAAGCUGGCCAGGCCCUGAUGCAGCAAAAAAGGCCCAAAUCAACAUGUUUUCUCCACCAUACUUUACAGUUGGGAUGAUGUUUUCACAAUGAUAUUGCGUGCCCUUUCUAUGCCAGAUGUAGUGCUGUGUGUUUUUUCCAAAUAGUUCAAUCUUUGUUUCAUUAGUCCACAAAACAUUUUGCCAAAUACCACUGUUGGAAUGUCAAUUUGUUCUUUUGCAAAUUUCAGGGGAAUAGCAAUGUUCCUUUUAGUACUGUAAGUAGUGACUUUCUUUGGUGUCCUGCCAUGGAUACACUGCUUGUUCAGUGUUUUACGUGUUGUAGACAAUCAUACAGAGAGUUCCAAUAAUGCCUUCAAAUCUUUGCAUGUCAUUCUGGGUUGUUUCUUUACCUCAUUCUUCGUGGUGCUCUUGGUGUCAUUUUGACUGGGCGUCCAUCUCUUGGUAGAGUAGCAACAGUCCCAAAAGCAUCUCCAUUUGUAGAUUGUAUGUCUAUAGACUGGUGAAUUUCUAAAGUCUUUGACAUAACUUUUAACCCUUUCCAGCUUCAACAAUUCUUGAUUGUAGCUUUUCUGAAAGCUCUUUUUGGUGAGGCAUGGCCCAUAUAAAAAAAUGAACUCCAAAAGUAAACUUCAAAGUAGCUGUAGUCCACACCUCCAAAUGCAUUAUCUUAAAGAGACUCCAGGUGUGAUAAAACCUCACUCCAAUUUGCUUUUUCGAGGUCUUGUUGGCUUAAAAGUUCACAUACUUUUUUCACAAGCACUAUGAGUUUUUUGGCUGUUCUUAAAUAAUUCUGUUCUUUCAUUUCUUUAUUGUUAAUUUUUUUUAGAACCAUUAUGUUUGUUCAAUAUUCUUGACUUGAAAU